GCCUUUGGCUUAACCAAAGAAGUGCAUCGGAAACUGUCAGACUUGAGUGCAGAAGAGGACAGUGGAACUCCAUGUGUAGCGGUGGAAUGCGUAGAUAUUAUGGAAGAACACCAGUGGCGAAGGCGGCUGUCUGGUCUGCAACUGACGCUGAGGCUCGAAAGCAUGGGUAGCGAACAGGAUUAGAUACCCUGGUAGUCCAUGCCGUAAACGAUGAGUGCUAGGUGUUGGAGGGUUUCCGCCCUUCAGUGCCGCAGCUAACGCAUUAAGCACUCCGCCUGGGGAGUACGACCGCAAGGUUGAAACUCAAAGGAAUUGACGGGGGCCCGCACAAGCGGUGGAGCAUGUGGUUUAAUUCGAAGCUACGCGAAGAACCUUACCAGGUCUUGACAUCUUGCGCCAACCCUAGAGAUAGGGCGUUUCCUUCGGGAACGCAAUGACAGGUGGUGCAUGGUCGUCGUCAGCUCGUGUCGUGAGAUGUUGGGUUAAGUCCCGCAACGAGCGCAACCCUUGUUACUAGUUGCCAGCAUUCAGUUGGGCACUCUAGUGAGACUGCCGGUGACAAACCGGAGGAAGGUGGGGACGACGUCAGAUCAUCAUGCCCCUUAUGACCUGGGCUACACACGUGCUACAAUGGACGGUACAACGAGUCGCGAACUCGCGAGGGCAAGCUAAUCUCUUAAAACCGUUCUCAGUUCGGACUGCAGGCUGCAACUCGCCUGCACGAAGUCGGAAUCGCUAGUAAUCGCGGAUCAGCAUGCCGCGGUGAAUACGUUCCCGGGCCUUGUACACACCGCCCGUCACACCAUGAGAGUUUGCAACACCCAAAGUCGGU
rnacentral:rRNA from 2 species